GGAUUGCAUUUUGGUUUAUUUGCUGCUCUUUUAUAAAUCGCGAUUUUAACAAAAAAACAGAUCCCUCAUUGAUUAUAAGUUUUAUUAAGAGCCUUAGUUUUAAACGAUUACCCUAAUAAUAAGAGUUAUUAGGAGCUUUCUGUGGCCUUAUAUAUUGCUUUAAAAAUAAAAAAAGUUUUUUUUAAUAAUAAUAAUAAUGAAAAAACGCAGCAAGCUUCCACGUAAGUAACAACUCACGAAUUCUGUUUUGGAUUUUGUUUUGCCCAAGUAACUGGCAUUAAUUUUUCAGCACCCCUCGGUUUUUGGCGCUUUUGGCCAGGCGACACUUGUUGGUGUGUACACACCAAAGACACCCUCGUCUACACACAAACAUACAAACAGUCAGCACCAAAAAACAGGCCAACACACACACACACACACUCCCAUUCCGACUUGGCAAACUACGUCAUAGCCCGACACACACAGACACACAUUUUGGCAAAUGAAAAAAAAAAACACACUCGAAAAGUAGGACGUCAUCCUUAAGCGUCAACAUGGCCAAAUGCAAUUGCUGUUGUUGCUGAAGUUACUCUGUUGCUGUUGCUUUUGCUGUUGCAAUGAGGAUAUGGCUAAACUUACCCAAAGCGGCGGACCUUUGCGAAUAUGUCUUUUCGUCGGGGGAGCUCCCUGUGUAUACUGAAAGCCUACGGCUGCCCGUCUGCCUCUGCUGCU